UUAUAAUGAUGUUGUCAAAUGUCUGACCUGAAAUCAGUAUGUGGACUAUUCAUUACUGAAGGA
ensembl:snoRNA